rnacentral:rRNA from 1 species
UUGUCUUUUAAAUGAAGACCCGUAUGAAUGGCACAACGAGGGCUUAACUGUCUCCUUUUUCCAGUCAAUGAAAUUGAUCUUCCCGUGCAGAAGCGGGAAUAUUCACAUAAGACGAGAAGACCCUAUGGAGCUUUAGACACCAGAAUAGACUAUGUUAUGCACACCUAAUAAAAGGUUAAAACUGAUUAACCCCUAUUCCAAUGUCUUUGGUUGGGGCGACCGCGGGGCAACAAAAAUCCCCCACGUGGACCGAGAGCACCUCGCUCCUACAACCCAGAGUUACAACUCAAAGUAACAGAACUUCUGACCAACAAGAUCCGGCACAGCCGAUCAACGGACCGAGUUACCCUAGGGAUAACAGCGCAAUCCCCUUUCAGAGCCCAUAUCGACAAGGGGGUUUACGACCUCGAUGUUGGAUCAGGACACCCUAAU